rnacentral:rRNA from 1 species
ACGGGUGAGUAACGCGUAGGAAUCUGCCUUGAAGAGGGGGACAACCCGAGGAAACUCGGGCUAAUACCGCAUAAUAUCGAGAGAUUAAAGCUGGGUGGCAACACCUGGUACUUCAAGAGGAGCCUGCGUCCGAUUAGCUAGUUGGUAGGGUAAAAGCCUACCAAGGCGAUGAUCGGUAACUGGUCUGAGAGGAUGACCAGUCACACUGGGACUGAGACACGGCCCAGACUCCUACGGGAGGCAGCAGUGGGGAAUAUUGGACAAUGGGGGCAACCCUGAUCCAGCAAUGCCGCGUGUGUGAAGAAGGCCUUCGGGUUGUAAAGCACUUUAGUUGGGGAGGAAGAUUAGUAGUUUAAGAGAUAGCUAAUUUGACUGUACCCAAAGAAUAAGCACCGGCUAACUCUGUGCCAGCAGCCGCGGUAAUACAGAGGGUGCGAGCGUUAAUCGGAAUUACUGGGCGUAAAGGGCGCGUAGGCGGUUAUUUAAGUUAGAUGUGAAAUCCCUGGGCUUAACCUAGGAACUGCAUCUGAUACUGGAUGGCUGGAGUGUGGUAGAGGGUAGUGGAAUUUCCGGUGUA